UUGAGACAAAACAGACCGUUUCUUCAACAUGUCGAACGUUGAUACAAUGUCCCCGACACCUGGGUGAUUGUCUUAUAUUAGCGAUCGAUGAUUGGAGCGACUGAUUGGAAGGUGGAAAUGAAGAAUUUUUAUGAGUAACAGAUCGCUGGGAUCAGAACACAUUUAACGAGAGAAAACGAGAUGCAAGAGGAAAUCGGAUGAGGAAAGAAGAACGGGAAAUAUUUUAUUAUUGCGUUUAUUCCACUGCAUUAUUCCCACAUACGUGCUUGAUGAUGCUCGAGACAAAUGCAAACGUAUAAUUGAUCGAUAAAAAGCGACGUGAAAAUAGAUACAAAGCCACAGAAGGCAUUGAAAAAGAGAAGCGAACGGAAUUUUAUUUGUAUCCUUUAUUAUUGUAUUUUUCUGCUGCGCUUUUAAUUAACAGCCACAUCAUUGUGUAACAAACAUGAACGUCAUCAUGUAAAUUGUCUCGAAUCGCCUGAUAUUUUUGCUCCACUCGCACGGAUAGAUUUUGUAUUCGUCGUUUCUGCCAAUGUGACAAAUUCGUCUUGGAAAACAGCGAUAUAUUUAAAGGAUCCGCGGUGUUCCGUUUCACCUGUUUGCGCUGUCAAUACAUCAACGAACGAACGAAAUUCCGUCAAUUUAAGCUCGCUUUGAUCUAAGUAUAGCCCGGAAACAAACGUCCGCGUUAUUCCGCAAGGCGGUCGGAGGCGGCGCGAUAAUAAAUGAAUUUUCCUUUUUACGCGGUGGAAAUGCUGAAAACGCUACACAGUUUCGAGUUGCACUUGUUUAACGGCGACGAAGUGCUCUGAAAAUACGACGGGGUUUAUUAUUACAUUUCGUUGCGCCUGCCAGAGUUUGGUAGUCGGCGGGUAAUUGAUUUUCUGGCUCGGCACAGGUGGAAGUCUACGUAAUAACAAUGAUAGAUCCAGUGGAUCGCGCGGGCUCUAUUAAUACGGCUUACUAAUAUCAACUGCAAACGUCUGUGCUCUCGCGGAAAUUAGUUGAGUCUCCGCCAUCUCAAUCGCGCUUCAAUAAACGGGAGCUGACAUCACAUUCGUCAUCUCGGCGACGUUGCGGGAGCAUCAGUUACGAUCCUCCACGACGACGUGACACAAAUGAUUUACACGGAGUUUUAUUUGUACGGCAAACAAGAGUGAAUACCCCGCGAUCCGAAUGUGUCAGUAUCGUGUACGAGCGGUUAUUUAUACGAGGAAGAUGCCCUACCUCCUUCCGCAUUACGCGUCGCGUCAACGGCGACACGACACGAGAUCACAAACUGGAAUAUUUAGACUGGCAGAGUCCCACGAGGGGCAUGAGGUUCGUACGGUCUAUAGAAACGGCGACGACUCGAGAAAUCGCUAUUUUAUUUAUGGGCACGUUGGAAAAAUACAUCGCGUCCACACGCAGAAGGACGCGAACGCAAGCGAAAAUAAAUUUUGCUAUAAUCGAUACGACGAAUGGCUCAAAAUCACAUUCUGUCACAAUAAUUUCUGUAAAAUUUCUGCUUAUUUUAAUAGGACUUGAGAUUUUAUACACGAUCAUGCUGUAAAUUUUAAAUGUACAUGGGUUAUUUACAUAUUGUUUACAAAAUUUUUCAUGUAGCAAUAUAAAUUAUUAAA
rnacentral:lncRNA from 1 species